GACAGGGGAUGCAAGCGUUACUCGGAAUUACUGGGCGUGAAGCGUCUGUAGGUUUCUUUCCACGUCUGAUGUAAAAGCACUGGAGCUCAACUCCGUGUACGUGUCGGAAACGAGAAAGAUAGAGUCACUCAGAGGUAUCUGGAAUGCCGUGUGUAGGGGUAAAAUCCGUAGAUCCACGGUGGAACGCCAAAAGCGAAAAGCAGGAUACUGGGGGGUGCACUGACACUCAGA
rnacentral:rRNA from 1 species